rnacentral:rRNA from 1 species
CCUACGGGUGGCAGCAGUGAGGAAUAUUGGUCAAUGGACGAGAGUCUGAACCAGCCAAGUAGCGUGAAGGAUGACUGCCCUCUGGGUUGUAAACUUCUUUUAUAUGGGAGUAAAACAGGGUAUGCAUACCCUCUUGUAUGUACCAUAUGAAUAAGGAUCGGCUAACUCCGUGCCGGCAGCCGCGGUAAUACGGAGGAUCCGGGCGUUAUCCGGAUUUAUUGGGUUUAACGGGAGCGUAGGUGGAUUGUUAAGUCAGGUGUGAAAGCUUGGGGCUCAACCGUAAAAUUGCAGUUGAAACUGGCAGGCUUGAGUACAGUAGAGGUGGGCGGAAUUCGUGGUGUAGCGGUGAAAUGCUUAGAUAUCACGAAGAACUCCGAUUGCGAAGGCAGCUCACUGGACUGCAACUGACACUGAUGCUCGAAAGUGUGGGUAUCAAACAGGAUUAGAUACCCUGGUAGUC